rnacentral:rRNA from 1 species
ACCCUCAUCGGGAGGCAGCAGUGGGGAAUAUUGCACAAUGGGCGCAAGCCUGAUGCAGCCAUGCCGCGUGUGUGAAGAAGGCCUUCGGGUUGUAAAGCACUUUCAGUUGUGAGGAAAGGUUAGUCGCUAAUAUCGGCUAGCUGUGACGUUAGCAACAGAAGAAGCACCGGCUAACUCCGUGCCAGCAGCCGCGGUAAUACGGAGGGUGCGAGCGUUAAUCGGAAUUACUGGGCGUAAAGCGCGUGUAGGUGGCUUGUUAAGCCAGAUGUGAAAG